rnacentral:rRNA from 1 species
CCUACGGGAGGCAGCAGUGGGGAAUAUUGCACAAUGGGGGAAACCCUGAUGCAGCGACGCCGCGUGAGUGAAGAAGUAUCUCGGUACGUAAAGCUCUAUCAGCAGGGAAGAAAAUGACGGUACCUGACUAAGAAGCCCCGGCUAACUACGUGCCAGCAGCCGCGGUAAUACGUAGGGGGCAAGCGUUAUCCGGAUUUACUGGGUGUAAAGGGAGCGUAGGCGGCAGUGCAAGUCUGAAGUGAAAGCCCGGGGCUCAACCCCGGGACUGCUUUGGAAACUGUGUGGCUGGAGUGCAGGAGGGGUAAGCGGAAUUCCUAGUGUAGCGGUGAAAUGCGUAGAUAUUAGGAGGAACACCAGUGGCGAAGGCGGCUUACUGGACUGUAAAUGACGUUGAGGCUCGAAAGCGUGGGGAGCAAACAGGAUUAGAUACCCCAGUAGUC